UCGCGGCCAUCAUUUUGAAUAGGACAAGUAUAUGUGCGCUGGGAAAAAUAUUUCAUGAUGGACCAGUGAAUUCUUUACUUGUGGGUGAAACAGGUCUCAUAAGCGUAAAUACGACUAGCUUCUACUGAUUAUAAAACAUACCGUACUAGUUCAACCGCCACCCUUGUUUAAGAGCAACAUUUAAAAAUCACGUUUUUUUCAUCCUCAAGUAAUAAGUAAGUAGACUCGCCCAGUUUAAUCAAUCCAGACGCAUACAUAGAGCGCUUACUUCACCCGAUUUACAUUCGGAACAUUUUCACGCGUUUCGGGCUUUAUCGUAUGUUUAACAUGGGAUUUUUGAACCGUCCAAAGAUGUUGGAAAUGUUUGUCUCAUUGUUUAUUUUUUUUAAUAAAAAUGUUACUGCUUU